ACUCGUUCAUAUAUAGGGAAGUGAAGGAGUGGCUGUUGGCCAUUGAUAAUUGACACUUCAGACUCGUGAAAUGUUAACCAAUGAGGUGAGUUUCAGGGUGAAUGUCAACCAAUCAGUGGCCGGGUUUGGUUGGCUGCUGGGUAUAAAGGUGACGAUGAGACAAAAUACACUUCAGUGUGUUUUACCUCACUUUUGGUAUACAGUUCCAGCUUCGUCUCUUGGAGUAAAGGUACCCAGCUUCCUUUGGUCCCACGGCCCCCAGCUUAACGUACUCUCGGCCUUCAAGGACACGGCAAACUCUACGCUAUCCUGUGGAAUACCUGGUAAUAUGAAUUGUUAGGUGGGCUCCAGUUCGUUUACAAGCGGCAACGAGCGAGGCACUACCACCUGGAGGUCAUCUUGGUACACCGUCCUCCUAGUCUCACGCUGGAGGGUUCGGGCGACCGCUGCCGUACAACAGGAAAGGCAACAAAGACUGUCUCGGUACUGAACAUUUAUAUCGACGGGAUAAAGUGGCAAGACAUUACGUGGUGUCGUGAGACCAGCCUUAGAUAUUUUUUUUGCCAGAAAAUGGCCUGGUUUCCUGAAUGUUAAGUUGUAAAAUAUUAGAACUUAAACUAGCUCAUAUUAUUCUUGAAUACCUGAACCGGGAGGUCGCUUUAUGCUUGUUCACAAAACUUUCUAAGGACCCAAGUGUCGUUAGUGUAACUUUGUAUUUUAAGAAAUUAACAACUCGACAAAUCUAACUUGUUAAACUAUUAAUUGAUAGACUUUAAUAUCACUGACAUGACAUUGGCACCAUGCACCUGGGGAGGGGGGGAGGGGACAAAUGUGUACCAGUACCCCCCCUCCCCUACAAACCAGUGUAUGGGGAUUCAUUGUAAAACUUGGUUGUGGGCCUCGCUCCCAUAGACACCUCUAGGUUUCAAAGAUGAAUGGCUUUUGUUCAGUUUCUUCUUUAUUUAGCAGUUAAUAUCAAACUUUAACGGCGGCUCAACUCUCCGAUGUCGUAAAAUAAGUUUUACAGGUUUUUGUAUUAUAAACCCAUUCUAAUAUGGUAACUAGAUGAUUUCCUUA
rnacentral:lncRNA from 1 species